AUCGAUACGGGUUGUGGGAGCAAGAGCCCGGAGAUGGAUUCUGAGACACGAAUCCAGGCCCUACGGGGCGCAGCAGGCGCGAAAACUUUACAAUGCGAGAAAUCGUGAUAAGGGAACCCCGAGUGCCCGUAAAUUCGGGCUGUCCAUCAGUGCAAAAAACUGGUGAAGAAAGAGCCGGGCAAGACCGGUGCCAGCCGCCGCGGUAAUACCGGCGGCUCGAGUGGUGGCCACUAUUACUGGGCUUAAAGCGUCCGUAGCUUGGUUGUUAAGUCUUCUGGGAAAUCCAUCGGCUUAACCGAUGGGAGUUCAGGAGAUACUGGCAACCUAGGGACCGGGAGAGGUGAGAGGUACUCCAGGGGUAGGAGUGAAAUCCUGUAAUCCUUGGGGGACCACCUGUGGCGAAGGCGUCUCACUAGAACGGCUCCGACAGUGAGGGACGAAAGCUGGGGGAGCAAACCGGAUUAGAUACCCGGGUAGUCCCAGCUGUAAACUAUGCGCGUUAGGUG
rnacentral:rRNA from 1 species